AUUGAACGCUGGCGGCAGGCUUAACACAUGCAAGUCGAGCGGGAAUAGGUAGCUUGCUACCGAUUUCUAGCGGCGGACGGGUGAGUAAUGCUUAGGAAUCUGCCUAUUAGUGGGGGAUAACAUUUCGAAAGGGAUGCUAAUACCGCGUACGCCCUACGGGAGAAAGCAGGGGAUCUUCGGACCUUGCGCUAAUAGAUGAGCCUAAGUCGGAUUAGCUAGUUGGUGGGGUAAAGGCCUACCAAGGCGACGAUCUGUAGCGGGUCUGAGAGGAUGAUCCGCCACACUGGGACUGAGACACGGCCCAGACUCCUACGGGAGGCAGCAGUGGGGAAUAUUGGACAAUGGGGGGAACCCUGAUCCAGCCAUGCCGCGUGUGUGAAGAAGGCCUUUUGGUUGUAAAGCACUUUAAGCGAGGAGGAGGCUACUUUGGUUAAUACCUAGAGAUAGUGGACGUUACUCGCAGAAUAAGCACCGGCUAACUCUGUGCCAGCCGCCGCGGUAAUAC
rnacentral:rRNA from 1 species